AUUCACUGAAGGCUGCUAGCCAGGAGACUCAAGAAGGAAUUGUCAAAGAGGAGAACUAUCCAAACAUUGUCUUUGCAGCCUAAACAGGAAAGAAAACUCAUAGAGUUCCAAUUCUCAUGCAAGUCACUGGCAUUCAUCCAGCCUAGUUUCCUUAUCUACAAAAUGGUGGAGUGCCUACAGCAAAGGAGUCUAACCAGGACCAGAAAGUAGACACCACAAAAAACCAAGCACUAUGAAGAAUUAGAGAGGUAGUGAGGUCCCCAUCACUAUGCUGAUGACAAAGCCACUUCACAGGGGAUAGGAGGAUGCAGAUGAUGUUGGACCUUCCUCCUCUCCAAUCAGAAAGUUUCAUAGCAGCUAAGGAAAAGGACACCAGUG